UGAAUAUUAUUAAGCAAAACAACACCAAACGAAAGCAACUUUAAGCAAACUUACACACACAACAAGCAAUUAAUUAACAUAAUUACGCAUAAAGCCAGCCCAUCCCACGCUGCCAUAUAUAUUACUAAAAAGUACUCCAAAAGCAACAAAACAACAAAAUAGCCCCAAAGUUACCCUCAACGUUCCAUUUCCUGCCCAACUUUUACAUAAACCCCAAAAAUCCCAAAGUUUCCCUCAACGUUCCAUUUUCUGCCCAACUUUUACAUUAAACCCCCAAAAUUCCCCUCUUAUUAAAAAUUCCCACUAAUAUAAUAAUAAUAAUGGCAAAUUAAUUCACCAGAAACACAUCCGCCGCCGCCGCCGCCGAUCCCAUACUCAUCGCCUGACUCAUCACCCCCGAGUUCACCGGACUCCAAAAUCAGCCGCCGN
rnacentral:lncRNA from 1 species